GUCGUUUCAUAUACAUUUCUCCUUUCCCAAUUUUUUCAAUUUUCACACACAAUAGUAGUCCAAAUUUAUUACACUUUCAAGAAUCUUUCCCUAUCCUUAACCAAUUUCAAAUUAGUUUUCUCAAAAAUUUUAAUCAAUCCUAAUUGUGCGACGGUUGAUCUUCAAUUGCAUUCACGAUGCAAUUACUUGAAUGCUGGUUUCUCAUCUCCCAAAAUCUAAUCAGCGCAUCAUCAAUGUUAAUUUGAAGGGUUUCAAGAUACAAGCUUCUGUUCAUAAGGCUCUGCUGUCUCGAUUUGAGAAUAAGAUUCAUGAGGGUAUUGUUUAUAAUUUUCAAUAUUUUGGGGUUGCCGCUAAUACUGGAGGGUAUAGGACCACGAAAAUCCAAUUCAAGUUGAAUUUGCACAGUUCUACUGUGGUUACAGAAAUUGGUGAUGAUCUUAUAAUAGUAUCCCCUUACUCAUUUGUGUCCUUCCAAGAAAUAGUUGGGAAAAUUGAUAUGGACUACUUAUUGAUGUUGUGGCCAUUUUGUCUGCUGUUGGACGUGAAAGGGUCUAUGAAAGGAAUGGUGUAACUACUAAGUUUAAGGAUGAAGCUUGACUGUACACUGUUUGGACCAUAUGUUGAUGAACUUGAUGCAUACCUCAAAUUUGGUAACACCGACACUAUUGUUGUUCUUGCUCAGUAUCCGAAAGUCAAAUUGUAUAAUGGAAAAAUCCAGAUGCAGAAUGCAAUGAACUGUAGCAAACUAUUGUUCAACCCAAAAACACCCGAGGCAGAUUAUUUAAAACUGAACGAUAACAUUGGAUCGCCUACUCAACCAGUUAGUUAUAUGAAGGAUGCUUCUGAGAUGAGUUUAGAAGAAGAUUUUUUAAAUCUGAUUCAAUGCAAAACAAUAGAAGAACUAAAAGACUGUCAAGAUGCACGAUCAAACAUGGUAUUGGUGGCAUGCUACAUGUGUGUGCAACAAGGGUGUUGUUGUGGAUUCCAAAAGGUUGUUCUGCCCAAAGUGUAACAAGCAUAUUUGGCCAAUUGUCCCAAGGUUCCGUGUCAAACUCAGAGUAAUUGAUGAAACUGAUUCUUCUACUUUUGUGCUUUUGGAUCGCGAUUGUUAUUUUCUGACCAAAAUGACAUGUUAUGAUUUGAUUGCUGAAAUGGACCGGAAGAAGAGCCAACAAUUUUGCCUAAAGUGAUUGGUGGUUUUGUUGAUCAAACAUUUUUGUUUAAGAUAGAUGUAAAAAUGAUGUGAGCUCUAGACAUGAAAAGUCUUUUCGCGUGAAAAAAGUUUGUGCUGACAAAGAUAUAAUUUCAAAGUUCAAAUCUGUUGCAAAGUUGGUGUGGUUCAAAGUGAAAUGUUUGCUGGUGCAAUUCAGGAUCUGAAUUCCAUUGUGAAGAAAAAUACUGGUGUUGAAGAAAUUACCAUUGGUUCUCAUGUUCAGAAUGAGUUGGUUGCUAGGGUAGCUCGGGAUUUGAGUUCAAAAUUUGAAAAUGAUGGCGCUGAGGAGAUUUGUGAAGACAACGGUUCUAUUUCAGCACAUAAUGAAGUUGAUCCUGCAGAUUGCACUACUGUUAAGAGAGGAAUUGGAGAAGUUGCUGGAGUAAUCGAUGGAGGCGACACUAGGAUUAGGAAAAGCAUAAAGAUUGAGAAGGAUUAGUCGACUUGGUUCAUUCACUAUAGUUUUUGAAUUGUUGUUAUUUUUUGUUUUGUUAAACUUUGAUGCACUUUGAGUUGUUUAGUUUUUCUUGGAUUUGGCUUUUUGUGGGAUUUGUUUAGCCCAUAAUUAGGUACUUCGCUUUGAAUUAUGUUUACAUUUCUACUAUUAUUUCUUUUGAAUGCAGCCAUCAUAUUGUAAAAUGUUUUUUCAUUUGAAACCUUAUAAGCUAUGCAACAGUC